UACGUAGGGGGCAAGCGUUAUCCGGAAUUACUGGGUGUAAAGGGAGCGUAGACGGUAAUGUAAGUCUGGAGUGAAAGGCGGGGGCCCAACCCCCGGACUGCUCUGGAAACUAUGUUACUAGAGUGCAGGAGAGGUAAGCGGAAUUCCUAGUGUAGCGGUGAAAUGCGUAGAUAUAUGGAGGAACACCGGUGGCGAAAGCGGCUUUCUGGCCUGUAACUGACACUGAGGCUCGAAAGCGUGGGGAGCAAACAGG
rnacentral:rRNA from 1 species